CCUACGGGAGGCAGCAGUGGGGAAUAUUGGACAAUGGGGGCAACCCUGAUCCAGCCAUGCCGCGUGUGUGAAGAAGGCCCUCGGGUUGUAAAGCACUUUCAGUGAGGAAGAACGCCUGGUGGUUAAUACCCAUCAGGAAAGACAUCACUCACAGAAGAAGCACCGGCUAACUCCGUGCCAGCAGCCGCGGUAAUACGGAGGGUGCGAGCGUUAAUCGGAAUUACUGGGCGUAAAGCGCGCGUAGGUGGCUUGAUAAGCCGGUUGUGAAAGCCCCGGGCUCAACCUGGGAACGGCAUCCGGUACUGUCAAGCUAGAGUGCAGGAGAGGAAGGUAGAAUUCCCGGUGUAGCGGUGAAAUGCGUAGAGAUCGGGAGGAAUACCAGUGGCGAAGGCGGCCUUCUGGACUGACACUGACACUGAGGUGCGAAAGCGUGGGUAGCAAACAGGAUUAGAUACCCUUGUAGUC
rnacentral:rRNA from 1 species